AUUGAACGCUGGCGGCAUGCCUUACACAUGCAAGUCGAACGGCAGCACGGGAGCAAUCCUGGUGGCGAGUGGCGAACGGGUGAGUAAUAUAUCGGAACGUGCCCAGUCGUGGGGGAUAACGUAGCGAAAGCUACGCUAAUACCGCAUACGAUCUACGGAUGAAAGCGGGGGAUCGCAAGACCUCGCGCGGUUGGAGCGGCCGAUAUCAGAUUAGUUAGGUGGUGGGGUAAAGGCUCACCAAGCUGAAGAUCUGUAGCUGGUCUGAGAGGACGACAAGGCACACUGGGACUGAGACACGGCCCAGACUCCUCCGGGAGGCAGCAGUGGGGAAUUUUGGACAAUGGGCGCAAGCCUGAUCCAGCAAUGCCGCGUGCAGGAUGAAGGCCUUCGGGUUGUAAACUGCUUUUGUACGGAACGAAACGGCGAGCUCUAAUACAGUUUGCUAAUGACGGUACCGUAAGAAUAAGCACCGGCUAACUACGUGCCAGCCGCCGCCGUAA
rnacentral:rRNA from 1 species